UGAGUCAGCAGCUGGAGAGGCAAAGGUAAAAAGAAAUUGGCUAGCCCAGACUCACACCCUUCUGCAUCUCUAAGGGGACGGUGCUCUCUCUACACCUCCAAACGGGGCAAGCUGGGGCUUUUACACUUUGAUCUGGCGAAGAGGAGUCUCAGCCGGUUUAUUUGCUAGCAUGGAGAGGAUUAUCGGGGAAUUGCUGCUCCGCCAGCCAGGUGAGUAUUUACACCAGCGAUGAGCCAGACCCCCAGCUGGUGUAGACAGACCUAAGUGGAGCUACACCUGAUUGACACAGCAGCUGGGGAUCUGCACCUAUUGACUCUCAUGGAGCUGGGGAUAUGGAAUUUUUAUUUUUAUUAUGUCACUGAAAAUGCUGGUUGGUCGUGUCGAUGAAGAGGACAAUGGGAGGGGGAAAUGUACGGUAAACCCGCCCUGAUUGCUACAUCUCGGAUUCUGGACCCAAUGGGAAGCACAGAGCGGGAAGGAGGUCAGGGUGGUACCUCUGCCUGGAAUUGGCACCGCGAGUCUGACACAGUGACAUCCAUCCGGCGAAGCACGGAGGAUGCUGGGACCAGGCUGCAGGGAGCCAUGGAGCUUGGCAAUAAGAGAAGGGGAAGGAAAUUGCUCUCUGCCUGGGGCGGCUUUGAGGUGCUACACAGAGAACUCCAGAUCUGCAGCUAACCUUGCAAAGAGGAAGCAGAGUGAGAAGCUUUCAAAGAAAUCAACAAUGCAAGAGCCUGGGUUCAAUCCCGUCUUGUCAUCCUGCAAGCAAUGCAAAAAUGUUCCCUACAGUUGAUUCUCCAGGGCUUCGCCCCGUCCCAUUUAAGCCAUUCCACUAAUGGGGUUUCCGUUGCUUCCCCGGGGGAGAAUGUGCCAUAGCCUGAUGGAAAUUGUCUCCUUUGCUCCAUCUCACCCCUCCAAGUACUCCCACCCCCUGAGUCUUGUCGCUUGUUCCCAUGACUCCAGUACACGCUGUUCACAGAAGUUACACAUGUUUUCCUCUCA